UUUUAGGACAAUAACGACAGUCCAUCUCAUCAAUUGAGAGUUGUUUGGGCAAACAACCCCAAACACGUAAUUUAGUCUUUCUUUUUGGCUUUACCUUAUAGUGGCAGCCUGCUAGUCCACGUAUUGGUAAAUGCCACUUUUCUCUCAGGUUGAGAGUUUAUCCUUCUCUUGGAUACAAGAUACUAUUCUCGUUUGAUCUCGAAUUGUUGAUUCCCCAGCAAGUAAUACACUACUCCUUGCACUUCAGUACUACAAUCCUUC
rnacentral:lncRNA from 1 species